AUUGAACGCUGGCGGCAGGCCUAACACAUGCAAGUCGAGCGAGCGGCGGACGGGUGAGUAAUGUCUGGGAAACUGCCUGAUGGAGGGGGAUAACUACUGGAAACGGUAGCUAAUACCGCAUACCAUCAGAUGUGCCCAGAUGGGAUUAGCUAGUAGGUGGGGUAAUGGCUCACCUAGGGGACGAGCCCUAGCUGGUCUGAGAGGGUGACCAGCCACACUGGAACUUGGCCACGGUCAAGAUGCCUACGGGAGGCAGCAGGGGGGACUUUGGCACAAUGGGCGCAAGCCUGAUGCAGCCAUGCCGCGUGUAUGAAGAAGGCCUUCGGGUUGUAAAGUACUUUCAGCGGGGAGGCGGUACCCGCAGAAGAAGCACCGGCUAACUCCGUGCCAGCAGCCGCGGUAAUAC
rnacentral:rRNA from 1 species